UACGGAGGGUCCAAGCGUUAUCCGGAAUCAUUGGGUUUAAAGGGUCCGUAGGCGGUUUUGUAAGUCAGUGGUGAAAGCCCAUCGCUCAACGGUGGAACGGCCAUUGAUACUGCAAGACUUGAAUUAUUGGGAAGCAACUAGAAUAUGUAGUGUAGCGGUGAAAUGCUUAGAUAUUACAUGGAAUACCAAUUGCGAAGGCAGGUUGCUACCAAUACAUUGACGCUGAUGGACGAAAGCGUGGGGA
rnacentral:rRNA from 1 species